rnacentral:rRNA from 1 species
GACGAACGCUGGCGGCGUGCUUAACACAUGCAAGUCGAACGGUAAGGCCCUUCGGGGUACACGAGUGGCGAACGGGUGAGUAACGCGUGGGUGAUCUGCCCUGCACUUCGGGAUAAGCCUGGGAAACUGGGUCUAAUACCGGAUAGGACCCUGGGAUGCAUGUCCUGGGGUGGAAAGCUUUUGCGGUGUGGGAUGGGCCCGCGGCGUAUCAGCUUGUUGGUGGGGUGAUGGCCUACCAAGGCGACGACGGGUAGCCGGCCUGAGAGGGUGACCGGGCACACUGGGACUGAGAUACGGCCCAGACUGCUGCGGGAGGCAGCAGUGGGGAAUAUUGCACAAUGGGCGCAAGCCUGAUGCAGCGACGCCGCGUGAGGGAUGACGGCCUUCGGGUUGUAAACCUCUUUCAGCACCGACGAAGCGCAAGUGACGGUAGGUGCAGAAGAAGGACCGGCCAACUACGUGCCAGCCGCCGCUGUAA